rnacentral:lncRNA from 1 species
UAUUUUCUUUCUUCUUUUUUCUUUUCUUCUCUUUUUUCCCCUUUUCCUUUCUCCCAUAUCCGAUUUCCUUCAUUGUCAAUUCCUUAUCUAUUUCCGUCACUAGUUUCACGUGAUUUUGUUCGUAAAAAUUAAACCUACACCACCAAAACCUUCCUAGCGAUAAUGCUCUAGUUCUUCUGAAAAGAAGAAGAUGAAAAUUGUUGGAUUUAUUUUUCUGUGGUGUUAAUUUGGUGAAGGUAAGAUAUGGUUAUUCAAAUUUUGAAUGUGGUGUUCAGCCGUGUAGCUUCAAAUAUGAAGGGAACAAGACCCUCAAAUCUGAAUAACUGUAUCCUACCUUCACCCAAUUAAUAUUAUUGAAAAUAUUUCUCUAACAAUUUUUAUCUCCUUUAGGUCAGAAGAACCGUAGGGUUUGUAAUAGCAAAAUUAGCAAGAAUUCAUGAGUUUUGUCAAGUUAAAUUGGUGAAAAAAAU